rnacentral:lncRNA from 1 species
CAACAAAGAGAAGAUGAUUUGCUGUUCAAAACGGGUGGUGAAUAGAGAUUUUCCAUUGAGUAUGAGACACAUGAAUAAGAAAUGAACUGUGAUAUAGCAAGACCAACCCAUCCUCUUUCUCCUCCUUCUCAACUCAACGUGAAGACAACAAGGAUGAAGACUUUUGAUGAUCCACUUCCACUUAAUGACUUCAUGAGAAAUGCUCAGCGACUGCAGACAUA